AUGCUCUGGUUUCUCUUCAUAACAGAUAAAUCAUUUGCUUUUUACUAAAGAUUUCCAUGAAGAGGUACAAUUAUGAGUUUAUAACUGAAUUUUUUGAUGUCCUGCUUAGUCAGGGCU
rnacentral:snRNA from 1 species